rnacentral:rRNA from 1 species
CAGUAGCCGCGGUAAUGCGUAGGUGGCAAGCGUUGUCCGGAAUUACCGGGCGUAAGGCGUGCGCAGGCGGUUCUAUAAGACAGAUGUGAAAUCCCCGGGCUCAACCUGGGAACUGCAUUUGUGACUGUAGAGCUGGAGUGCGGCAGAGGGGGAUGGAAUUCCGCGUGUAGCAGUGAAAUGCGUAGAUAUGCGGAGGAACACCGAUGGCGAAGGCAAUCCCCUGGGCCUGCACUGACGCUCAUGCACGAAAGCGUGGGGAGCAAACAGGAUUAGAUACCCCUGUAGUCCCUGUCUCUUAUAC